UGGCGCACGGGUGCGUAACGCGUAUGCAACCUACCUUUAACUGGAGCAUAGCCCGAAGAAAUUCGGAUUAAUACUCCAUAACAUAUGUUAAUCGCAUGAUCGACAUAUUAAAGCUUUGGCGGUUAGAGAUGGGCAUGCGUGACAUUAGCUAGUUGGUAAGGUAACAGCUUACCAAGGCUACGAUGUCUAGGGGGCCUGAGAGGGUUAUCCCCCACACUGGUACUGAGACACGGACCAGACUCCUACGGGAGGCAGCAG
rnacentral:rRNA from 1 species